AUCCUUUUGCAGUUCAUGAGCAUGAUGAUUGGGUAUUCGUGCACAUGUGUGAGAUGUGCCACCCUCGAACCUUGUUAUGACAUCGGCACAUUGCUCAUCUAACA
ensembl:snoRNA